UACGGGGGGGGCAAGCGUUGUUCGGAAUUACUGGGCGUAAAGGGCUCGUAGGCGGCCAACUAAGUCAGACGUGAAAUCCCUCGGCUUAACCGGGGAACUGCAUCUGAUACUGGAUGGCUUGAAUCCGGGAGAGGGAUGCGGAAUUCCAGGUGUAGCGGUGAAAUGCGUAGAUAUCUGGAGGAACACCGGUGGCGAAGGCGGCAUCCUGGACCGGCAUUGACGCUGAGGCGCGAAAGCUAGGGGAGCAAACGGG
rnacentral:rRNA from 1 species